rnacentral:rRNA from 1 species
UAUAUUCGUUUUGCUUAAUGUGUUAUUAUUUAUUUUAUUUAAUAUUAAAUAAGUAAUAAUUAAUAUUAUUAAUAUAUUAUUAAUAUAAUAUAAAUAAGUUACGCAGUAUUUAUAAUUAUACAAUAAAUGAAAGUUUGAUAUAGUUAAUGUAUUUAAAGGUGGAGAAAUUGGUGCCAGCUUCUGCGGUUAUACUAAUAUCUUAAAUUUAUAUUUAUAUAGUAUAAAAUAAAGUAAUGUUUAUGGAUAUUAGAAUAAAUGAGAAUAUUGAUUGUGGGUAAAAUUUAAUUGGUAUUAUUAAUUAUGUUGUUCUAUAAUUGGUUCUUUGAAAAUAAGGUUUAAGUAAACUAGGAUUAGAGACCCUAUUAUUCUUUAUUUUAAAAAUUUUAUUAUUUAAGUAGUAUAAACAUAAUUAAUUAUUAUAAAAUGUUAUAUAUGUUUGAAAUUUAAAAGGCUUGGCGGUGUUAUAUAUCCUUCCAGGGGAGUUUGCUUAUUAAUUUGAUAAUCCUCAAUUUAUACUUACUUUUUUUUGAAAAAUUCCAGUUUGUGUAUUGCUGUCGUCAGUUUAUUUUGUAAAAAUAUUAUAAAAAACUUAAUAAUGAAAUGAUUAUAAUGUCAAGUCAAAAUGCAGCUAAUGGAGAAGGUUUAAAAAGUGAACUACAGUUUAUAAUAUUUAAUCGGAUUAAGUUAUGUAAUUAACUUAUAAAGUUGGACUUGGUAGUAAUGAAUAUAUAUAGUAGUGGGGAUUUGUGAAUUAGGUUUUAUAAUGCGUACAUA